AACGAACGCUGGCGGCAUGCCUAACACAUGCAAGUCGAACGAGACCUUCGGGUCUAGUGGCGCACGGGUGCGUACCGCGUGGGAACCUGCCCUUAGGUUCGGAAUAACUCCCCGAAAGGGGUGCUAAUACCGGAUAAUGUCUUCGGACCAAAGAUUUAUCGCCUUUGGAUGGGCCCGCGUUGGAUUAGCUAGUUGGUAGGGUAAAAGCCUACCAAGGCGACGUUCCAUAGCUGGUCUGAGAGGAUGAUCAGCCACACUGGGACUGCGACACGGCCCAGAAUCCUACGGGAGGCAGCAGUGGGGAAUAUUGGACAAUGGGCGAAAGCCUGAUCCAGCAAUGCCGCGUGAGUGAUGAAGGCCGUAGGGUUGUAAAGCUCUUUUACCCGGGAUGAUAAUGACAGUACCGGGAGAAUAAGCACCGGCUAACUCCGUG
rnacentral:rRNA from 1 species